rnacentral:rRNA from 1 species
GCCGGAAUUGCUAGUAAUCGCGGAUCAGCAUGCCGCGGUGAACACGUUCCCGGGCCUUGUACACACCGCCCGUCACACCAUGAGAGCCGGGGGACCCGAAGUCGGUAGUCUAACCGUAAGGAGGACGCCGCCGAAGGUAAAACUGGUGAUUGGGGUGAAGUCGUAACAAGGUAGC